CAGUGCACGUUCUUGUAAAAUGACAUGCGAGGAUACAGAAACCGCAAAGCACACUGUUUGAAUUGCAUUCUUGUACUCGGUUCAAUGUUUUGCUGCUCAGUUAUUUGACAAAUCCAUGGAUCUUCUUUCUAACAUGGUCCACUUUCAAGAUAUUUGGAGGGAGCUUGCAUUCAUGGUUCAUUCAUUUCCGUAGAUCUUCUUUUUCUCUCUGUCACAUGGAUACACAGUGCAUGCCUUCGUCUUCUUCCUUGUACUCCAAAGGGCACAAAAAUGUCACAGUACAAUUUACUUCAAGUACAGACUGUACAGUAUAUACGAACUGUGGUUAUCUUUCUUGUGCCUGCAAAUGGCAGCAAGAGCAAAGGAAAAUUAUAACUCGAAGGCCUUUAGUAACCACGGCAAAGAAUCGCUGAUGAAGUCAAUCAAUGGCCUACCGAUUCUUCACUCCUAUAUUCACCUCGCUUAUUUCUGUUGGUGGGACUCAAGCAACUGAUCAAUCCAAUCAAUGGCUUACUGUUUCCAUGAUAUGUAUACGAUAAUUAUGUUAUUGAAGUCAUGUUUAGAAAUGCAAUAAAAUGCUACGUUUAUUUGGACAGCUCCUUCUGUUCCUCUUGGCAACACUGUAUUACUUUCGCAUAGUAACAUGUUCCUAGGCAAGUUACUUCAAUAAAUACAUAAUUACACAUGAAUGCUGACAAUUAGGGACUAAUACACAGGAUUACUACUAGCGAUCGAGGUGAUGGCAGUUGCGUUCGGAGGGUGGUCAGGAUUGGAGGGAAGCAGUGACAGGGAAAAAGUCCCAGCUACAAUUCCUGUGAUGAUUUUUGCUUUGGUGAAUCAUGAUCCAGCACCUGUUCUUUGUGCAUAUUUGGGUGGUGACCUCAAGCGUCUAAGGGCUUCAGUUUUGCUGGGUAGAAUCGUUCCUUUGCUGGCAUUGCUUGUUUGGGAUGCAAUUGCACUUGGCCCUUCUGAUCAGGCUGGUCACGUUAUCGAUCCAGUUUAAUAAUUGCUGACGAGGUAACUUAGACUCUGCGUAUUCUAUUAACUGUAGAGAUGCCCAUCAAAUUU